rnacentral:rRNA from 1 species
UACAGAGGGGGCAAGCGUUAUUCGGAAUUAUUGGGCGUAAAGGGCGCGUAGGCGGCUUUGCAAGUGACGGGUGAAAUCCCUCGGCUUAACCGAGGAACUGCCUGUCAAACUGCAUGGCUUGAGACCGGGAGAGGUGAGUGGAGUUCCCAGUGUAGCGGUGAAAUGCGUAGAUAUUGGGAGGAACACCAGUGGCGAAGGCGGCUCACUGGACCAGUACUGACGCUGAUGCGCGAAAGCGUGGGGAGC